CCUACGGGUGGCUGCAGUGAGGAAUCUUGGUCAAUGGGCGCGAGCCUGAACCAGCCAAGUCGCGUUAGGGAGGACGGCCUACGGGUUGUAAACCUCCUUUGCCGGGGAGCAACGAGCGUCACGUGUGGCGCCACUGAGCGUACCCUGAGAAAAAGCAUAGGCUAACUCCGUUCCAGCAGCCGCGGUAAUCCGGGGGAUGCGAGCGUUAUCCGGAUUUAUUGGGUUAAAGGGGGGCGUGGACGGAUCGUUAAUUCAGUGGUCAAAUUGAGGGGCUCAACCCCUUCCCGCCAUUGAAACUGGCGCUCUUGAGUGGAAGAGAAGUGUGCGGAAUGCGUGGUGUAGCGGUGAAAUGCAUAGAUAUCACGCAGAACCCCGAUUGCGAAGGCAGCAUGCCGGCUUCCGACUGACGCUGAAGCACGAAAGCGUGGGGAUCGAACAGGAUUAGAUACCCUUGUAGUC
rnacentral:rRNA from 1 species